GGCACUGUAAAGUGCCCGAAGUAAGUGUUUUUACAAGUUUUUAGGGUUUAGAUUUUUUAGACAUUAUCUACAUAUUUUACUUUCAAAAAUUGAUUUUCUUGUAAUGUUUAUAGGAUAUGAAUGGUUGCAGACAUUUUCAAUGGGAAGAUAGCAUUCCCGUGGAUAAAACAGUGGCGGCGAAGUUUAAAAAGCCUCCUAUUGAUAGAGAUACUGUGACUUCACGUAUCACUAAAGAUACCGUGAAGAUUGACUUGCAGUUUAAGCUUAUGGAAGCUCAAGAAAAAAAUUGACCUUUUGGAGGUCUUGCUAAAAGAAUCCAAAGAAAAACAAAGUUUUUUCAAGGCUAACCUUAGAGACACUCAACACGAGAAAAAUGUUUUGAAAGAAAAACUGAAAUUUUGGAAGAUUAUUUGUGCUAUCUUGUUGUUGUUUAUUACUUUUAUGUAUUUUUUUUAUUAAGUUUAUUAUUUCUAUGUAUUUUGUUUUUUUAUUUUUAUGUAUUUUGUUUUUACUAGUUGUACGUUUUCACGUAUUAUGUAAUCGACACCUUUUAUGUACUAAUUUAUUUGGGUUUUCUUUAAAAUUGUGAAUAGUUGAACUUUUUUUUAAGAACAACUAAGUGUUGCCUAAUGUGAUAUAUUUAUUUAUUACAUAAUUAAAAGGGGACAAAGCCUCCAUAAGUUCAGACAAGCCUCCAUAAGUUCAGACACCAAAAAAGUAAAGCAACAAAAUCGCAUCUGAAAUCUAAAAAAAAAAAAAAAAACCUACUCUCUAAACUAAGCUCGUCUUCACUCGGUCUUGCAAUCUCAAGAUAAAAUUCGUCCAUAUCGAAGAAGAUAAGAAAGGGUUCCAGCUUGUGAAGCUCCAAUUUUGUCAUUUCAAGAUGCUCUUCAAGGUUCAGUACUCCAUCCAAAGGAAGUUGCUCAUGAUCUUCAUUUGGUGCUAUGCUAUCUUCUGGAAGCCUUGUGUCAGAUAAAGCAGCACACUGAUUGCUUGUUUGCACUGUACUAACUAGAGUAAUUUGUUUACUGCAAUCAGUUGUAUCACCCUUGGAACAAUUUUGCGAAGUUGAUCCAUAUCCAGCCAUCCAUAUGAGAAUUUACCCACUGCAGCAUACUGCAGCUUCUCAAUGAUAUUCAUCCUUUUCACCUUUUCCUCAGUCCAUUUGAGAUAUGGCACUCCAUGGAGAAAAGAUAUCUUCUUGAUUUCAAUUGGUGGCACAGUUUGUGAUACUUCAUUCAAAAAAGAAGGCUUCAAAAGAUUUGCAUAUUGUAUUUAGUUUCCAUUUGUUUGUGUACUCGUUCCUUCCUAUACUGUUGCAAUAGAAUUAUGCUGGCCAGUCCCACCGGAGGGCUGGCCAUCGGCCGUGGAGGCCAUGAAUUAGUAUGAUUUAGGGUUUUAUAUGAAAAUAGGAGGAAAGAGUCGGGUAACUUGUUAUGUGUUUUGA